UACGUAGGCAGCAAGCGUUGUUCGGAGUUACUGGGCGUAAAGGGUGCGUAGGCGGCUUCUUAAGUCUGGUGUGAAAUCUCCCGGCUCAACUGGGAGGGUGCGCCGGAUACUGAGGGGCUAGAGUGUGGGAGAGGAAAGUGGAAUUCCUGGUGUAGCGGUGAAAUGCGCAGAUAUCAGGAAGAACACCCGUGGCUAAGGCGGCUCUCUGGGCCGAAACUGACGCUGAGGAGCGAAAGCAUGGGGAGCAAACAGG
rnacentral:rRNA from 1 species